rnacentral:rRNA from 1 species
UACGAAGGGGGCUAGCGUUGUUCGGAAUUACUGGGCGUAAAGCGCGCGCAGGCGGCUAUCCAAGUCAGUGGUGAAAGCCCGGAGCUCAACUCCGGAACUGCCAUUGAAACUGUUUAGCUUGAGGACGAGAGAGGUGAGUGGAAUUCCCAGUGUAGAGGUGAAAUUCGUAGAUAUUGGGAAGAACACCGGUGGCGAAGGCGGCUCACUUGCUCGUAACUGACGCUCAGGCGCGAUAGCGUGGGGAUCAAACAGG